UACGUAGGGUCCAAGCGUUAUCCGGAAUCACUGGGCGUAAAGCGUGCGUAGGCGGGAGUUUAAGUGCAAUGCGAAAUCUUGUGGCUCAACCAUAUAGACGGUAUUGCAUACUGGACACCUAGAGGACGGCAGAGGCAAGUGGAAUUACUGGUGUAGCAGUGAAAUGCGUAGAUAUCAGUAGGAACACCAAUGGCGAAGGCAGCUUGCUGGGCCGACCCUGACGCUAAGGCACGAAAGCGUGGGGAGCGAACAGG
rnacentral:rRNA from 1 species